rnacentral:rRNA from 2 species
GUGCGAGACCGAUAGCGAACAAGUACCGUGAGGGAAAGAUGAAAAGAACUUUGAAAAGAGAGUUAAAGAGUACCUGAAACUGCUGAAAGGGAAGCGAAUCGUAUCCAGUGUCUAUAAUCUGCGGCAUAUUUCAUUGGCGGCGGUGUGCGUGCCUUGGCUUUGGAAGCGGCUUUUGUUGCUCUGUGCUUUGGUGUUGCGCGUUGGUGCUGAUGCCCUGUGUUGCGGUGGGACGUCAGAGUCAGUUCGUAUGCUGCGGGAAAUGGCUACCGAGGAGGUAGGUCAGGAGCUUGCUCUUGGCUGUUAUAUCUUGGUGGUUUGUUGUCGUGGUUGGGACUGAGGUGCCUAC